UACGUAGGGUGCAAGCGUUAAUCGGAAUUACUGGGCGUAAAGCGUGCGUAGGCGGUUCUCCAAGUCCGUUGUGAAAGCCCCGGGCUCAACCUGGGAAUGGCAGUGGAAACUAGGGGACUGGAAUCUGGCAGAGGGGGGUGGAAUGCCGCGUGUAGCAGUGAAAUGCGUAGAGAUGCGGCGGAACACCGAUGGCGAAGGCAGCCCCCUGGGCUGAGAUUGACGCUCAUGCACGAAAGCGUGGGGAGCAAACAGG
rnacentral:rRNA from 1 species